AGGCGCAGUCGCUUAGCGAAGGCUGUCCCGCGGCGGGCGCAGGCGCGGGUGGCGGGGUGUGCUUGGGCGGGAAGUGGGUGGUGAGGGCCGCUCUGGGCUCAGCGUUCCCCACCUGGAAUGCGUCCUGGCUUCGGCUGGCCCGGCCCAACCCUCAGCGGCCGCGGUGCCCAGGCCCACUCCUUCCGCGCCUGGAAACGUGAGACGGGUCACUGAGGACGACGUAGGCAAACUUUGCAGAGCACGUUGCCACCUGUUGGAGUAGCCGCUCCAGCCCCAGUCGAAAUGCACGGCCGAACAAUGGCAGUUCUGAGUGGCUCAGGGGCCCACACUUUCUUUAAAACCGAUGCACUCGUAGUAAUAUUUCUUAUGCCCCACAUCCAGAGGCCUGUGCUCACCACCUCAGCAGUGCCCGGGGAGGUUCGCCAGGCGUGGGCAGGCUCUCCCUUGAAAGCACCUGACCUGGUUCUACCUUGCACUGGGGCUGAAUGGGAAUUACAUGGGAAUCUCUUAUUGUAAUGCAUGAACAGAUUUCACAAGAAAAGGGAACAGGACUGGACCGCUGGCUGUUCCUUCUUUGAUCCCAGGCAUGAUUUCAGCUUGUAGAAUAAAUGAGAAAUGCCUGUUGGUUUAAUUAAAAGAACCGCAUUGGCUGUGCUAGCCUGCCUGCCUUCUGGUGCCCAAGCAAGUGUACUGAUAAAGGAAUCAAAAGCUGCACACUCAAUUGUCCCAGGGUUUUCUCAUCUAUCUUGACAGCUUUUGAGAAUAUAAGUCAAUUUCUCAAAAGCGGUUUAUUGUAAGCCUUGAAAUAUCCAGUUUCCUACCUGGUACCUUAAAUCAUUACUUUUUCCGUAGGGAUAACUGGUGAACUAUCUCCAAAAUAUAUCCUUCUUGUCCGUUGACUCAGAUAGCUCAUUGGGAAGAAGCCAGCUGUCUCCUCUGGGAUGCUGGCUGGCCUUUGAGGUGGGCCCUGGAGCUACUGCCUGGGGAUCAAUGUACUACCACAACACAGACUAAAUUCCUGGUCCCUUGGGAUAUACCUCCAGUGUAAGACCUCCAGGAAGGACUCCUGCUAGGCCCAAUCACAGAGACUAGUAGGUGUGGUCAGAAAGCCCGGGGCACAGCCUGAUUGGUCAUUGUACAGGCGCGUUACCACUAAGGCUGAGCUUUAGGAGAAGAGCAAGACAAUAUCAAUGGCUAGUGGGGUUCACAUGAAGGCAAGACAUGGACAGCUGCUCCUUCAUCCGUGUUUUUAUCCCCAAGGAACAGCUUUGUGAAAGUGCUCUGUGCUCUCAAGCUGUUGCCAGCAGGGUCUGUCUCUUCAGCGUGGCUUUUAAGAGGAAAGUGCAGCAAACUGGAGCCUUAGCAAAAGGCUGCUCGCUAGCAUGAGAAGCAUUUGAUUCCAGCUUGGAAACAAGGGGUGGGGCAAAGCCUUUUUACCACCUCCACCCCAUCUCUCCCUCUCUCCCUUUCAGAAAGGCAGAUUUAUCUAGUGGUGCAUCCCUUGCCUUCAUGUCAGAGUGUCAGCUUUGUCAUAUUCCUGACUGUUGUUACUAGAAUUUUUUUAAGAUUUAUUUAUUUUAAGAUGUAUUUAUAGAUACUUUUUGCCUGCACACAUAUCUCUGUGGGGGUGCUCUGGAACUAGAGUAUGUGGGUUGUGGGAAUUGAACCCCAGUCCUCUGGAGGAGCAGCCAGUGUUCUUAAUCACUGAGCCAUCUCUCCAGUCCCAAUUACUGGAAUUUCAUAUGAAAGCAAAACCACGGCAUAAAUCUUAGCAAAUUUGAAUUCCAUACUUUUUACCUUUUUCCAUUCACCAGAGAUGAGAUGCAGGUAUAUUCACGUUAAAACAAAAAUGCAAACAAGUCAGAUAAUUAAAAGGAAAUCCAGAUGAUGCUCUCAAACCUGAAGAAACACUUGUGGAGCCAGAUGGAAGCAGAGUAGAGUUGGACUCUGUCACCAUCCCAAGGGAACGAAGCAUCAUGGGCUCUGAUUUGUUCACUUGUUUCUUUAUGUGCGUAUGUACAGGAAUGUAUACUUGUGCUUGCAUGGAAGUCAGAAGAGAGCAUCCUGUCUCCCUCUCCAUCACUGUCUUCUUCCUCUGAGCCAGGGUCUGUCCCUCAACCCAAGGCUCUUGGUCUUCUUGGUUAGGCUAGAAGGCAGCAAGUCCCAGCAAUCCCCCAGUCUCCGGCCCCUUAAUGGAUCAGUCUGGGGGUGUAGAGUGUCUGUGGGAUCCAAACUUGAGAUCGUAGCAAGCGAUCUUAACUGUUGAGCCCUCUUUCCAACUGCUCCCUGUCUUGACAGCAAGAAAAAUCCCAACAUAUACUCUGAGGUCAUGUUGGAACCAUGUGUUUGGAGACAGCAGAGGUUUGGGACAAUCUUUCCAAUCAGGAUGACUCACAGCUGUGAUCAGGGCUUUCUCUUUUAUCAGCUAUACUAUCAGAAAAGAAGACCCUUGUGAGCACAGUGUCUGCCUCAAGCUCUUCAUCUUUUCCACUGUUACAAAAUCUCUGGGGGAGGAUUACACACAGGAUCAUGAGUCCUGUGUAUGAAAUUAUGAUGACUUAUGAAUGAUUACAUUCAUCACAAUUACUGUGAAUAAAAAAUGUUAUGUUUUAAAGGAACACUGGGGAAAUUAUGAAAAGUGAAUUAAGCCAAGAACAAAAGGACAAAUCCAUAUUGCCUGAUUUGUUUUAUAUGAGGUGCUUAAGUGGUAAAUUCAUGGAGAGAGAGAAACAGAAGGGGGGCUGUGGAGACAGUCCUGAAGAGUUAACAGGACCACAGUGUCUUCUGGAAUAAUGUGAAAAUUGUAAAUGUGGAUGCUGGCAAUGACUAUAUAAGCCUAAAUGCCCCUGAAGUAUAUCCUUAAAGAGUGGGUAAAACAAUAUACUUUGUUAUGCAUAUUUCAGUAAGGGCUGUCUUAUUCGUAUUUUUAAAAUUAUAACACAACUGAACUUACAUAUGUCCUAAAUUGUUACUCCUGGGAGUGCCAAAACAUCAGGAGCUGCACUGUGGAGGCCAGCUCUGGACAUUCUCAGUAGAAAGCAUUAUUUCUGCAGAACAGAGGACGUGAGAGCAGAUGGGGCAGGUGGGAGAGGAGGGAUGACCCCAAAGUGCAAGCUGAAGCUCCUGGAAGCUGUGGACUCGCUUUUGAGACAGCUGCUAGCACCCACAUGUACUUCUGUACAAUGACCUUACUGCACACUGCACUGUGCAGUGGACUACUCUCCUGUCUGGAAAGCCACGAUGUUUUGUUACAGCAACAGAAACGGAACUGACACAUAACACCUACAGGUGUGUAACAGCAGGCUUUUUGUGCCCGACUCUUUCCCAGACACACCAAGGAACUGGGCCUCUGAACUGAGAUCCUCAGAGAGAGCCAUUUUCUAAGGAAUAUGCUGUCUAAAUACAUUCGUGUACACUUCAACUCCAUUUGCAACUGUGUUCACAUGUCAAAAGACCCUGGUUGAUUCAGAGAAACAGAGGGCCUCCUCCUGCUGGAGGAACAUGGCUCCCCAGGCAGGGAGAGAGAUGGAUCAUAAGAGACAGAUCCAGCCUUUGCCUUUGUCCCAUGGUUUCUCCCCCAACCCCUCCUCAGUGACAUUCAUCUUUACUUUCUGCUUCAAGGCCACUCAGACUCAGCAGACCUGCACCUUCCCUGGACUUAAGCUAAUGCACACCUGAGCUGAGACAGUUCAGAAGGCCUCCCUGCUGGCGAAACAAUGGGUUCACUUAAAAUCCAUGUCAAGUGGCCACUAACUUGAAACACCUGAAGAGCAGAGGGUUUGGGCCUAGUGAGAAAUUAGAAUUGUUGGGGGGCUAGGAGUAGAGCGUGUGGCAGAGUGCUAGUAUGUGAGAGGCCCUGGGCUUAAUCCCAGCACCUCAACUAAAAC
rnacentral:lncRNA from 1 species